rnacentral:rRNA from 1 species
CUAACACAUGCAAGUCGAGCGGGGUUUUCGGACCUAGCGGCGGACGGGUGAGUAAUGCGUAGGAAGCUGCCCGAUAGAGGGGGAUACCAGUUGGAAACGACUGUUAAUACCGCAUAAUGUCUACGGACCAAAGUGUGGGACCUUCGGGCCACAUGCUAUCGGAUGCGCCUACGUGGGAUUAGCUAGUUGGUGAGGUAAUGGCUCACCAAGGCGACGAUCUCUAGCUGGUUUGAGAGGAUGAUCAGCCACACUGGAACUGAGACACGGUCCAGACUCCUACGGGAGGCAGCAGUGGGGAAUAUUGGACAAUGGGCGCAAGCCUGAUCCAGCCAUGCCGCGUGUGUGAAGAAGGCCUUCGGGUUGUAAAGCACUUUCAGCGAGGAGGAAGGGGUGUGUGUUAAUAGUACACACCUUUGACGUUACUCGCAGAAGAAGCACCGGCUAACUCUGUGCCAGCAGCCGCGGUAAUACAGAGGGUGCAAGCGUUAAUCGGAAUUACUGGGCGUAAAGCGCACGUAGGCGGUUUUUUAAGUCAGAUGUGAAAGCCCCGGGCUCAACCUGGGAAUUGCAUUUGAAACUGGGGAACUAGAGUGUGUGAGAGGGGGGUAGAAUUCCAAGUGUAGCGGUGAAAUGCGUAGAGAUUU